rnacentral:tRNA from 1 species
UUAUGAAGCUAGUGGGCGAUUUCAUUGUUAAUGAAGUAGAGAGGAAGUUAUAUC